AGCGAACGCUGGCGGCAGGCCUAACACAUGCAAGUCGAACGAACCUUUCGGGGUUAGUGGCGGACGGGUGAGUAACACGUGGGAACGUGCCUUUAGGUUCGGAAUAACCCAGGGAAACUUGUGCUAAUACCGAAUGUGCCCUUCGGGGGAAAGAUUUAUCGCCUUUAGAGCGGCCCGCGUCUGAUUAGCUAGUUGGUUGAGGUAAUGGCUCACCAAGGCGACGAUCAGUAGCUGGUCUGAGAGGAUGAUCAGCCACAUUGGGACUGAGACACGGCCCAAACUCCUACGGGAGGCAGCAGUGGGGAAUCUUGCGCAAUGGGCGAAAGCCUGACGCAGCCAUGCCGCGUGAAUGAUGAAGGUCUUAGGAUUGUAAAAUUCUUUCACCGGGGACGAUAAUGACGGUACCCGGAGAAGAAGCCCCGGCUAACUUCGUG
rnacentral:rRNA from 1 species